rnacentral:rRNA from 1 species
AGAGUUUGAUCCUGGCUCAGGAUGAACGCUGGCGGCGUGCUUAACACAUGCAAGUCGAGCGAGAAACUUAUAACGGAACCUUCGGGUGAAGUUAUAAGUGGACAGCGGCGGACGGGUGAGUAACGCGUGGGAAAUCUGCCUUAUGCAAGAGGAUAGCCUCGGGAAACUGGGAUUAAUACUCUAUAAUACUCUAGUACGGCAUCGUACAUGAGUCAAAACUCCGGUGGCAUAAGAUGAUCCCGCGUCCCAUUAGCCAGUUGGUGAGGGUAAUGGCCCACCAAGGCGACGAUGGGUAGCCGGCCUGAGAGGGUGAACGGCCACACUGGAACUGAGACACGGUCCAGACUCCUACGGGAGGCAGCAGUGGGGAAUAUUGCACAAUGGGGGAAACCCUGAUGCAGCGACGCCGCGUGAGUGAUGAAGGUUUUCGGAUCGUAAAGCUCUGUCCUAAGGGAAGAUGAUGACGGUACCUUAGGAGGAAGCCCCGGCUAACUACGUGCCAGCAGCCGCGGUAAUACGUAGGGGGCAAGCGUUAUCCGGAAUUAUUGGGCGUAAAGGGUACGUAGGCGGCCAAAUAAGUCAGGCGUGAAAGGCAUCGGCUCAACCGGUGUAAGCGUUUGAAACUGUUUGGCUUGAGUACAGGAGAGGAAAGUGGAAUUCCUAGUGUAGCGGUGAAAUGCGUAGAUAUUAGGAGGAACACCAGUGGCGAAGGCGACUUUCUGGACUGUAACUGACGCUGAGGUACGAAAGCGUGGGGAGCGAACAGGAUUAGAUACCCUGGUAGUCCACGCCGUAAACGAUGAGUGCUAGGUGUUGGGGGUCGAACCUCAGUGCCGCAGCUAACGCAUUAAGCACUCCGCCUGGGGAGUACGGUCGCAAGACUGAAGCUCAAAGGAAUUGACGGGGACCCGCACAAGUAGCGGAGCAUGUGGUUUAAUUCGACGCAACGCGAAGAACCUUACCAAGGCUUGACAUCCCCUUGACCGGUCUAGAGAUAGACCUUUCCCUUCGGGGACAAGGGUGACAGGUGGUGCAUGGUUGUCGUCAGCUCGUGUCGUGAGAUGUUGGGUUAAGUCCCGCAACGAGCGCAACCCCUGCCUUUAGUUGCCAUCAUUAAGUUGGGCACUCUAGAGGGACUGCCGGUGAUAAACCGGAGGAAGGUGGGGAUGACGUCAAAUCAUCAUGCCCCUUAUGCCUUGGGCUACACACGUGCUACAAUGGUAGGUACAACGGGGAGUGAAACCGCGAGGUGGAACAAAUCCUAAUAAGCCGAUCCCAGUUCGGAUUGCAGGCUGCAACUCGCCUGCAUGAAGCCGGAGUUACUAGUAAUCGCAGGUCAGCAUACUGCGGUGAAUACGUUCCCGGGUCUUGUACACACCGCCCGUCACACCACGAGAGUUGGUAACACCCGAAGUCAGUGAGCUAACCGUAAGGAGGCAGCUGCCGAAGGUGGGAUUGAUGAUUGGGGUGAAGUCGUAACAAGGUA